rnacentral:rRNA from 1 species
UACAGAGGUCUCAAGCGUUGUUCGGAUUCAUUGGGCGUAAAGGGUGUGUAGGUGGCGCCGUAAGUCGGGUGUGAAAUUUCGGAGCUUAACUCCGAAACUGCAUUCGAUACUGCCGUGCUUGAGGACUGGAGAGGAGACUGGAAUUUACGGUGUAGCGGUGAAAUUCGUAGAUAUUCGCAAAGAACACCAGUGGCGAAGGCGGACUCACUGGCCCGGAACUGACGCUGAGACGCGAAAGCGUGGGGAGCAAACAGG